rnacentral:rRNA from 1 species
UACAGAGGUCUCAAGCGUUGUUCGGAUUUAUUGGGCGUAAAGAGCGUGUAGGCGGCCAGGUAGGUCGGUUGUGAAAACUAGAGGCUCAACCUCUAGACGUCGACCGAAACCAUCUGGCUAGAGUCCGGAAGAGGAGAGUGGAAUUCCUGGUGUAGCGGUGAAAUGCGCAGAUAUCAGGAAGAACACCCGUGGCGAAGGCGGCUCUCUGGGACGGUACUGACGCUGAGACGCGAAAGCGUGGGGAGCGAACAGG